rnacentral:rRNA from 1 species
CUGGGAAUUUUCCGCAAUGGACGAAAGUCUGACGGAGCAACGCCGCGUGAAGGAUGAAGGUAUUUAGGUAUUGUAAACUUCUUUUAUAUGAGACGAGAAAGGACGGUAUCAUAUGAAUAAGUCCCGGCUAACUACGUGCCAGCAGCCGCGGUAAUACGUAGGGGGCAAGCGUUGUUCGGAAUUACUGGGCAUAAAGGGUGCGCAGGCGGAUUAUUAAGCAAGAGGUGAAAUGUCAAGGCUCAACCAUGGCACUGCCUUUUGAACUGGUAGUCUGGAGUACAGAAGGGGAGAGCAGAAUUUCCGGUGUAGGGGGUGGAAUCUAUAGAUAUCGGAAGGAAUACCGUUCGCGAAGGCGGCUCUCUGGUCUGUUACUGACGCUCAUGCACGAAAGCGUGGGUAGCAAACAGGAUUAGAUACCC